rnacentral:rRNA from 1 species
UACGGAGGAUCCAAGCGUCAUCCGGAUUCAUUGGGUUUAAAGGGUGCGUAGGCGGAAUAAUAAGUCAGUGGUGAAAUCCUUCAGCUUAACUGGAGAACUGCCAUUGAUACUGUUAAUCUUGAGUACACUUGAUGAGGGCGGAAUGUGUCAUGUAGCGGUGAAAUGCUUAGAUAUGACACAGAACACCGAUUGCGAAGGCAGCUCUCAAAACUGUAACUGACGCUGAGGCACGAAAGCGUGGGGAUCAAACAGG